rnacentral:rRNA from 1 species
UGGGGAAUAUUGCACAAUGGGCGCAAGCCUGAUGCAGCAACGCCGCGUGAGGGACGACGGCCUUCGGGUUGUAAACCUCUUUUAGCAGGGAAGAAGCGAAAGUGACGGUACCUGCAGAAAAAGCGCCGGCUAACUACGUGCCAGCAGCCGCGGUAAUACGUAGGGCGCAAGCGUUAUCCGGAAUUAUUGGGCGUAAAGAGCUCGUAGGCGGUUUGUCGCGUCUGCUGUGAAAUCCCGAGGCUCAACCUCGGGUCUGCAGUGGGUACGGGCAGACUAGAGUGCGGUAGGGGAGAUUGGAAUUCCUGGUGUAGCGGUGGAAUGCGCAGAUAUCAGGAGGAACACCGAUGGCGAAGGCAGAUCUCUGGGCCGUAACUGACGCUGAGGAGCGAAAGGGUGGGGAGCAAACAGG